rnacentral:rRNA from 1 species
AUUGAACGCUGGCGGCAUGCCUUACACAUGCAAGUCGAACGGCAGCACGGGUGCUUGCACCUGGUGGCGAGUGGCGAACGGGUGAGUAAUAUAUCGGAACGUACCUUAUUGUGGGGGAUAACGCAGCGAAAGCUGUGCUAAUACCGCAUAAUCCCUAAGGGGGAAAGCGGGGGACCGUAAGGCCUCGCGCAAUUAGAGCGGCCGAUACCUGAUUAGCUAGUUGGUGUGGUAAAGGCUCACCAAGGCAACGAUCAGUAGCUGGUCUGAGAGGACGAUCAGCCACACUGGGACUGAGACACGGCCCAGACUCCUACGGGAGGCAGCAGUGGGGAAUUUUGGACAAUGGGGGCAACCCUGAUCCAGCAAUGCCGCGGGAGUGAAGAAGGCCUUCGGGUUGUAAAGCUCUUUUGUCAGGGAAGAAACAGCAGCUCUAACACAGUUUGCGAAUGACGGUACCUGAAGAAUAAGCACCGGCUAACUACGUGCCAGCCGCCGCGGUAA